rnacentral:rRNA from 1 species
AGUUUGAUCCUGGCUCAGAUUGAACGCUGGCGGAAUGCUUUACACAUGCAAGUCGAACGGUAGAGGGGGCAACCCUUGAGAGUGGCGAACGGGUGAGUAAUAUAUCGGAACGUGCCCAGUCGUGGGGGAUAACGUAGCGAAAGCUACGCUAAUACCGCAUACGAUCUAUGGAUGAAAGCGGGGGAUCGCAAGACCUCGCGCGAUUGGAGCGGCCGAUAUCAGAUUAGGUAGUUGGUGAGGUAAAGGCUCACCAAGCCGACGAUCUGUAGCUGGUCUGAGAGGACGACCAGCCACACUGGGACUGAGACACGGCCCAGACUCCUACGGGAGGCAGCAGUGGGGAAUUUUGGACAAUGGGCGAAAGCCUGAUCCAGCAAUGCCGCGUGAGUGAUGAAGGCCUUCGGGUUGUAAAGCUCUUUUACUCGGGACGAUAAUGACGGUACCGAGAGAAUAAGCCCCGGCUAACUCCGUG